rnacentral:lncRNA from 1 species
UAAUUCAUACAGUAUACCUUUUACACACUUGGUUCCAUGUGUAAACUACGCAUACUUUUAUCUUUUACACAUUUAAUACCUUGUGUAAAUACGUAGUUUAUAAAUUGUACAAUACAGGAACCAGUGGCGAUAGUAUCUAAAUCUCUCAACUGGAAGAAAGUGGACCCCUCUGAUCACCUUUACAAUCCAGAUAAGGAAGCUGCUUCUUGCGAUGCUUAAAUCACAACAAUUCAAGUUUUAGAGCGCACUUUACAUACUUUUAGGUUUGUGAAUUUUGAAAAAAUGACACGUGUAUUAUUCUGUGCUGUAAUUAUUAGUCUAUUUUGGAUAAUUGACAUUGAGAUACAUUUUUGUAGACAGUAAGUCACGAGGUGUCAAUGACCUUUUAAUAGGAUUUAUGUAUUUGGUGAAAGUAUUUUUAUGAGCGAUACGCUCGUCAUAUAGACUUGGAUAUGGUCUUUUUAAACGUUUAAUUUAUUAAUGAGGUUGUUUUUUUUUUAUUCUAAAUUUUAUUUUAGCUAUCGUCAUUUAAAUGUUAAUAUUUGUACAUUAUUACCCGAUAUUUUAUUGUUAUUUUUCUAAUAUGACGAAACAAAAUUGUGAUAUUGCAUCGUUGGUGUUCCAUUGAGGUCAAAUUUGUAGGUUGACUUUUGUCGUAAUCGAAUUCGAGUCGAGCCCUUGUAGAUUUCAACAUAUAAAAGGGUAUAUAAAUGUUUUCGACAUACAAUAUACACAGUUACUAGUUUCUGUUAUUAUUAAGCUUAACUCAUGCAUUCUUCAUAAAAAAUAAAGUACUUUAGUAAAGUACAUUUUAUGAUUGUAUAUUUGAUUGCUAUAGUAAACUGCCGUGACCUGAUUGCAAUGCCUUCUAAACAGACGGCCGGUUGGUCACGCGGUUCCAUGGUGUAAUGGUUAGCACUCUGGACUUUGAAUCCAGCGAUCCGAGUUCAAAUCUCGGUGGAACCUGACUUUUUGCGUUUGCAUAAAGAUAUUUAAACAAUAUAAUGUUGUAUGACUCGUUUAUUAAAACUUAAUUAAUUUGGACCUUUAUUAUUUUUAAAUCGCAAAUUAUGAUUAUAUUGAAUUUUUAUAUAUUUUUUUUAAUAAACAUGAAGUGGAAAGGGAUUAAUGAGUAAAAUCUAUAGAAAAUGUAUUAUCUAAGUCUAGAAUUCAGUAUUAAUGUUUGUUUCUUACAAGGUUUCGACGUUUUUAAUUAAAUUAGAAAUUUCGAGGUUUUUAUUGAUUGCUUACUUAUUAAUCACCAGUGAUUAAAUAUUUAGCAUGUUUAUUUUAUGUAGCAUACACGAUAUCAACCCAUCUUCUAAGAAACAACGCUGAUAAAAUUAUUUGAUAAUUUUAUAGUUAUUAGAUCAAUUGAUAUAAAUAAGUGUCCUAAUUCUAAUGCGUGUGAAAAUGUGAUAAAAAUAAAAGUUGAUCAAAUUAAACCUUAUGUUCAUAUCUUAAAUUUUAUUUACGAAAACAACGAUUCUUGGAAAAGAAUCCCAGCAAUAUUUAGAAUAUAGAAGAAAGAAAAACAAAACGCAAUUGCUGCACGUUACACAGAGCUAACUAUUAAAAAAAAGUAAUUUCACAAUUUCAUAUAAUUUUUAAUAACGAAGUUAUGAAAGGAGUUGGAACUCUCAAAAAGUCGAUUCUGGAUUGUAACUGUUUUUUUUUUUUUUGAUGUUUCAAUAAUAUAAUGUUUGCAAAUUUCUAAGAAUGAUGAAUACUUUACCAUAUCACUUUUUAUCAUGACUGUAGGUGCAUUAUACAAUUUUUUUAUUAUU